GAAUCUUAACCACUGGACCCCAGGGAAGUCCCUCUUCUUUUAUUUUUAUCUUUCUGUUUUUACCAGAGUAUUAAAGUUUUGAUUUUUUUUUUAAGUUAAAAAAGCAAUCUCUGAAUAUUUCCCAGUUUAAAGAAUACUAACAACAGACAAAUACACUUGCCCAGCCCCUCCUAAUUCAGACACUUCUGAAAAAUAAAUAUGAGUUUUGUGCAUACAGUGUGGUUUUACAUUUGGAAAAUACCUAAUUUUCAUAUUACAUAAAUCAUAUAUGUGUAUUGUUAGACAAUCUGUGUGUUUCCUCCACUUAAUAUAUCCUGGAAAUUGCAGAGGUCAUUCUGUAAAUAGUGUCCACAUCUUUCUUAACUGCCGCAUUUUAUUCUACAGUAUAGAUAUUCCAUGAUUUAUAGAGCUGUUCAGAGUGGUAUGCUACAAAUAAUGGAGCAGUAAAAGAUUGACUUAGUACAUGCAUCUUUGUGCACCUGUGUAUUUUUAUCUGUGAUUAAACAUACAGAAGAUGAGCUGUUAUUAGAGGGUAUUUUUAAUGUAUAUUAUACCUCCUCCAAAAUGCUCUGUCUCCUUAUGUUAUUUCCAUCAGUGAUGACUGAGAAGACCAUGCUCCUUUCUCCAUAUUCUAGCCAAAUGGUGAUCAAAGUUUGUUAUAAAAUAUUGAGUCACUGGGGUGUUGUGACUUGAAUAUUAUUGAUCUGUAAGAAUGCGGUGAGUGUUGUGGUCAGGUCAUCACUUGAGCAGUGACGCCCCCCCGCCACCUCCAGGAGUGGCUGUAGAUCUCCAGUGACACUUUCAAACCCCAACAGGUAGCUUGUUAAUUCACCAAAACCUUGCUUUGUUGGAUCUUUCCUAAUGAGCUGGCUCUUAAUUAAAUGGAGCAGUAUGUUAAGUUUAAAUCACAAUGGAAACCAGUCUGAGUUUCUUAAAAUGUUUUGGAAACAUACUGUUUUUAAUGUGGUUACUUCUAAAUUGUGUUUGAGGGCCUUGCCCUAGGAAUAAAAACCAUACUUUGUGAUAAUUUUAGAAAGUGUCACAAAGUCUGGCCAGUUUGGAUUCUAAGUCUGUCAGAGGAAAUAAACACCUGUGGUGAGACCAUAGAAAAACAAAGUAGAAGGUAGGUUAUUUCCUCAAUAAGCCAGUGGAUGGCUGGGCUGUUCUUGUUUCCAUUUAGGGUUUUACUCUUGCCUGCAGCCUGAUGGAGUCAGAGCUAUCGUGUUCCCCACUUGGCAGGUGAGUCCACCGAGGCAGACAGGAAGCAGCCUGCAUGCUGGGGAUACAGCCAGCAUGUAAGGGGUAAGGGGUAAGCCAGACAAAUGCAUGUGAUGAAAGUCUGCCUAAUUCCAAUUCCUGACCCGGGAUCAACAAAUGUGACCCACCACCUGCUUUUGUACAGCCCACCAACUAGGAAUGGGCUUUAUUUUUUUAAAUGGUUGCAUUUUAAGGGAUUAAAUAAAUGCCUACAUUGUCUUAAUUUUGCCUCUUGCCCCAUAGAGCCUAAGAUGUUUAAUAUUUAGCCCUUUACAUGAAAAUUUUGCAAUUUCUUCUCUUGACUAUUAGUCCUUAACUACCUAAGACUGAAAAGAAAUACCUUCACUCAAGUGGGGAAGUUGGCUAGGCUAGUGGUUCUCAAAUAUUAGCAUGGGUCAGAAGCACGUGGUGGGUAUGGGGUAAGUUCUAACAGAUUUCUGGGCCUAUCCCUGAGGUCUGCAGUGGGACCACAGAAGUGGGAGUCUAAUCCUUUCCCAGGGUUGGACUCUGCUGGGCCUGGACCACACUAGGAGCACUAAGCAAGGGGGAUGGAGUGGAAUUAGGGAUAUUGGCCAUGGAACUGUGAGAGGGUCUCAGCCCGGUUAUUUGCAGUUGCAGCCCCUCCAAAUUAGGGCCCUAGGCUUGUAGACUGACAAAAUGUGCAUUCAGCAAAGGCUUCUGUGUUGAUGAGGAAGAAAUUUAACCUGUAUUGGCAACAGCUGUCUGAAAGUGGAGAUAGAGCUUCAGAACUUCAACUUUUUCAUUCAUUUAAUCAUAAAUAUUGUUGAAGAUAUAUUUAAACAUCUUUGUUAUCUAAGGGAUCAUUGGUAUUAAUUAACUGAUAAUUUGCUAUUUGCUAAGCUCUGUACAGAACUUUUAUAAUAAUCCUAUGAAGUUAGAUGAUCGUGUUGUCACUUUAAAAGGAAGGAAGGACUUCCUUGGUGAUCUACUGGUUAGGACUCUGUGUUUUCACUACUGAAGACAUUGGUUCUAUCAUUGGUCAGGAAACUAUGAUGUCGCAAACCAUGGGGUGUGGCCAAAUAUAAGAUGUAAGAAGGAACUUCCUGUCACAGUUGGGUGGCAAGUGGCCACAAAUAAUUUAGACUCUUGUUUACGAUACAGCUCCCUCCCCUGCAUUCACCCUCCACCGUGGCUACCACAUGAGAAUCCUGUCUAUCUCUUUCAGCUUAGAAAAAUGUUGUUCUGGGGGGAAAAAGGGCCCAUUUGGCAAAAUGUUGUUAGUAUUAUCCUUUUCUUAGAAAAAGCUUCUGUGACUACCGUAACUGUCAUAAUUAUUUUCAAAACUUUGAAUUACAGAAAACUCUUUACUAAGAAAAAAUACACCAUACACUCAGAGUUUGCAGAUGUGAAUAUGUUGUCACUGUUUGUGUGGUCAGGCCACUCAUGAUGGCUGUUCUCUUGCUCUCUGUCCAUCCGUGGCCCACCCAGUGUCUGCUUCACCUCUGUCUUACACACCUGGUUGACCUUCCUGGGUACCUGCCACAGACCCCAGCUGGUGAUUGUUCUUAUCAAAGGGUGGUGAGCUGCACGCUUCCUUACUGGUUUCCCUGGUAACUAAUGAGCCCACCUGAAGUCAGUGUCAGUUCCCUUCUAACUGGUAAUCCAGCCUCUGCCUCCAUCCCUCUGGGAGAGAAGACUGCCGCCAUGUUCCUGCCGCUGUCUUGCACGAGAUGAGAAACUAGGACCCCAGUUCCCUGGACCAAAGGCAAGAAGACCCAGAACUUGAGAGAUCUCUGCCUCAAAACUAGUUCUGCUGCUGCUGCUAAGUCUCU